rnacentral:rRNA from 1 species
UACGUAGGGUGCGAGCGUUGCCCGGAUUUAUUGGGCGUAAAGGGCGCGUAGGCGGCCACGCACGUCCGUUGUGAAAUCGCCCGGCUCAACUGGGAGGGGUCAGCGGAUACGGUGUGGCUCGAGCAAGCUAGGGGGCAAUGGAAUUCCCGGUGUAGUGGUGGAAUGCGUAGAUAUCGGGAGGAACACCAGUGGCGAAGGCGGUUGCCUGGAGCUUUGCUGACGCUGAGGCGCGAAAGCGUGGGGAGCGAUCCGG